CUGGGGAUGGAGACUGCAACCCGGGCAUGUGCCCUGACCGGAAAUCGAACUGUGACCUCCUGGUCUACACUUAAUCACUGAGCCACGCCGGCUGGGUUGGGGCACGUUUUUUAAUACUAAGACCUGUAGCUCUCCUCUAAGGAUCAGAGGCUGAUUGAGUUAGCACACGAGUUCUCACCAGCCUGUUUAGGAGGAUGCCUACUAUCACAGCCAAGUCCUUUUACAUAGUUACACCUGUUUCUCGUUUCUCGCACUUCCUAGGAAAUACUUCUUUGUUGCUGGCUUAAAGGGAUACUCCCUCUUCCCUCCUGCAGCUCCUCACCGUCUGUAGCACCCUGUCAGCUUAACAUUCCAACAGCCAUUGCCAUGCAAGUGCCGGUCCCCCAAAUGGCAAAAAUUCAUUUUGCACAUUGACCACAUUUUGUGACACAGCUGUUCUCAGUACUCCGUUAUGCUGCAGGGUUUGUGAAGUUAGAAUCCGAAACAGCUCACUGAAAACAUGAGUUUGCAUAGACACUGAAACCUCAAAAUACCCUAAAUUUGAAUAUGCAUUUGCUUUUAGCACCUUUCAUAACAAGGACUGAGGAAUCACACCUGACUUAUUUAUCCAAAAAUCAUCACUAUUCAUAACUCUCAUAUAAUAAGAGCAUAUUGCAUUGCUCAACAGGGACUGGAGGAGGGAUGCAAUGGGGGAGGGGGACCUAGAGGACUUGGUACAGUUUGAUAAUAUUCUGUUGAGGGGGGUGGCUAUACAUGAGUAUAUUUAUUUAACUCCAAAAACAUGUAAUACUCUUGUACGUAUAAGCCACAUGGUUUUCUAAAAGCCAAUGGAAUCUGAGCACCUAAUAUUGAAAGGUUUCACCCAGGCUCUCUGAGAAAGGCCUAACUGUAGCGGUGACAGAUCCUGAGGCAUCUAACAGUCAUGCAUAGAGUCGGUGUGAUUUCCUUCAUGCUACAGUGAAGCUCUUGGUUGCUUCAGCAAACAAACAGUGGUAAGCAUACAGGGUCUGCGCAGAGGGCCACUGAGUCCAGUGUGAAGCCUGACAACGGCUCCAAGAGAUUUUUUUUUUGUGAAAGAGCGCAAUUGCAACAUAAACCCAGCAAGCCCCCCCUAGCGCUAGACGUGCAGACGCUAUUGUAAAACCUUCCAUUGUGUAAGGCUUUGUGUUGGGCCAGCACAAGGAGAAUCAUAGAAUACUGAGUCUCACAGACACAGGAUGGCAGGUUCCUCGGUGAUACCAGGAACUCUUUGUCUGAAUAACUCCGUUUCCAUGGCAAGACUACCUGAGGGUAUUCCCACUGUCGAGGAUAUGGAACAUCUGGACCCCCUACACACUAUUGGUGGGAAUGCAAAAUAGUAUGAAUGCUUGGAAAACAAAUGGGCAGUUUCUUAAAAACUUAAACAGAUACAUUCUUAUAACCCACCCAUUGUACUUUAGGACAAAUGUAAGUAUAUGUCUAUCUAAAGAUCUGUACACAUAUCUUCAUAGAAUUUUUAUUUCUAAUACUUCAAAACCAGAAACAACCCAAACGUCCCAUCAGAAUAUGAAUGGAUAAACAAAUUGUAGUAAAUCUAAUGAGCAAUUGAUACACCCAGCAACAUGGGUAAAUGUCAAAAUAUGAUUCAAUUCACAUAAUAUUCUGGAAAGUGUAAGCUAAAAUGUAGAGACAGACAGAAAUAGUCUGAGGACAGGGAAAAGUAUUACAAAACGAUAUAAGGAAACCUUGGGGGUUAUGCAGAUGUUCAUUAACUUGAUCAUGGUGAUGGUUUCACAAGUAUGUACAUGUCAAAACUUAUGACAAUGUAGACUUUAAACAUAUAUAGUGCAUAUUAUCUGCCAAUUACCUCAAUAAAACUGUUUUUAAAAGAUCA